UGACAUUCCAAUUUUCUCCCAAUUCUAUUGGAAGGUCAAUCUUAAAUGCUGUAUAGGAGGAUCUCAUUGAGAAGAUAUCAUUUGAGCAAAGAUGUAAAGCAAGGGAGGGAAUGAGUCAGUGGCUACAUAGCGAGAGUGUCCUAGGCAGAGGAAACAGCUUCUACAAAAGCCCUGAAGCAAGAGAAUGUUUGAAGUGUUCAAGAAUAAACAGGAGAUGCAGAAUGAAUGGAAUUGAGAGUGAGUGAGGCAGUCGGAUACAAGAGAGACUAAUAUGGGGCAGCACUGAAGACUGCUGACAGCAGCCACAUGAGUGAGCUCAGAGUGGACACAACAGCCCCUUCAGAGGCUGCAGGGAUGGCAGACAGCCUGACUGCAAUGUCGUGAAAGAUGCUGAGGCAGAACCAUGCAGCAAAGUCAUUCCCAGAUUCCUGACUCUCAGAAAAUGUACCCUCUUGUGACAGGUGCCCACCCUGUACCUGAAGGAAAGGAAAGUCCUUAUCUCUGAAGACACAGAGACACCAAGAAGAAACUGAACAGACAGGCCUUGCUAUAUCCCUGCCAGUUUAUUACCACUAGAGCUAACGCUUUUGUCCUU
rnacentral:lncRNA from 1 species